rnacentral:tRNA from 1 species
GGUGGGUUAGCUCAGUGGUUAGAGCUUAGAUCUUGCAACCGGAAGGCUCCGGGAUCGAAUCUCGCCAGAGAUUG